CUCCAGACUCCUACGGGAGGCAGCAGUGGGGGAUAUUGCACAAUGGGGGAAACCCUGAUGCAGCAACGCCGCGUGAGUGAAGAAGGUCUUCGGAUUGUAAAGCUCUGUUCUUGGUGAAGAUAAUGACGGUACCUGAAGAAGAAGCCCCGGCUAACUACGUGCCAGCAGCCGCGGUAAUACGUAGGGGGCAAGCGUUAUCCGGAUUUACUGGGUGUAAAGGGGGCGCAGACGGCGAUGCAAGCCAGGAGUGAAAGCCCGGGGCCCAACCCCGGGACUGCUCUUGGAACUGCGUGGCUGGAGUGCAGGAGGGGCAGGCGGAAUUCCUGGUGUAGCGGUGAAAUGCGUAGAUAUCAGGAGGAACACCGGUGGCGAAGGCGGCCUGCUGGACUGCAACUGACGUUGAGGCCCGAAAGCGUGGGGAGCAGACAGGAUUAGAUACCCCUGUA
rnacentral:rRNA from 1 species